rnacentral:lncRNA from 1 species
CAGCCUGUAACAGGCUAUCCCACCAAAGAGCCACUGAGAAACCAAGCCGUGUGUGAGUGAGUGAGUGUGUGUGUGUGUGUGUGUGUGUGUGUGUGUGUGUGUCUGAUUCAUCAGGAAGGAAUGCAAAGAAUUUCCCCUCCCCUCAGGGAGAAGGCUGGGCCCCUUUACCCUCAACAGAGAGUACACAGAUUUUAAAAUGUUGCAAAAGGGCCAUCAAUUCCUAUUGUGAGAGAAAAGGAGCUGAAAGAAUAUUUUGUAAAUAAGGACUCAAGAGAAAGGGUCUGGAAUUAGGGAUUGCAAUCUCUUUCUCCCCCUAUUUAGCACUAUUUUUAAGGUUCAAAAUAAUCCUUUCUUUUUUUGUUGUUGCAAUGUCAUUAUUUCUAUAUCCCCAAAACCUCAAAUUGUGGAAUAAAAUCAAUGACAUAAUUAUGAACCAUUAAAUAGAACAAACAACUUCCUACUCAGAGGAUUAUAUACUGAACUAAAAUUUCCAAUUAAAAAAAAAAGAUACACUCAUUUAGAAAGGUUACUCCAAAGCGCUCCGAAUGGAGCAGACUUGAUAAUUGACAAAGCAAAGUGCAUGCUGCAAACAUAAUUCUUGCUUUAGUUUAAAUAUUUUCUGAAAAGGGGGCCUAAGAACAUAAGAGUAUUGAGGUGGAUGCUGGUAACACUUUAAUAACAUAGCCAUUUCCACUUGGUAGAAUGAAAGAGGGGGAGAUGAACUAAGAAUGUUUUCUUUGAAAUAGAAACUACAUCUCCCUAGUAAAAAAGUCUUUGCAAAAAGAAAAGGCAAAGAUUGUUCAAAAAGAUCUCAAAGUUAUGGAAUAAGAGAUGGAAAUCUUUGAAGCUGAACGCAUAAGAGAAAAAUAUUCAGAGACAGAUUAUUACCAUCGCUUCAUCAUUUCACCAACUGGUAAAAACUCAGAAAGCGCAUUUCAGCAGCUGGCUCAUUCAGCUUUCAUUUAUAGAUGAUUUAGUUCUGAAGAAUAAUGAAUAUAUUGGAUGUAAAAACCUUUUCAUAGGCAGAAAUGAGCCUUUUCUAAUAUGAUAAAUUAUAAGGUCCUCUGCUUAGGUAGAAAUAUCUAAUGAGGAGACAUAGGACAGACACAUGAGUUAGCAACAAUGUGAGUAUCAGAGACUGUGUGCUGCUUACCCAUUUUGGUUUUCCCUUCGUCCUUUAUAAUAAAACCUGGAUUUUAUUUGGAGCAGCAAAGUGCCUAGCUAAGACUAUAUUUUCCAGCUUCCCCCCACCCAGAAGCUUUGGCCAGUGAGACAUAAAUGGAAUUAUUUGCAGAUAAUUUUUAAGCUAGCUCUUCAAAGGGAGAGGUAUCUCUUCUGCCUCUUGCCCUCCCCUUCUUCUUGCCUAGAACAGAGAUGUAAUGGCUGGACUCUCGCAACCACAUUGUGUCACUGAUGACGGACAUGAGGAAGGCUAGCAGAGAAGAACAAGGGGCAUGGGGUUUCUGAUGACAUUAGGGAACUUCUAUACCUGCUCUGAACUAUACUACCUCCGGAUUUUCUUUAUGUGAGAGAAUAAAUCCUUAACUAGUUAUCCUGGUAGUUGGAUAUCUGUUAUGAGCAGAGAAACUCAAUUCCUGAUACUGGUCAUCAGUACAAUGUGAUUAUGAAAAGGGUCCAGAAGAUCUAAGACUGCACGAAAAAAUACGUUUUGCCUGGGUAAGAGUACACAGAACAAGACAACCGAAACAGAGCAAGAGCAACAGAAAUUGACUGGUGCCUAAAUUUCCUUCUAUUCCAAGUCCCUCCAAAGAGUCAAAAAUUAUUUCCCAUAAGGCCCUUGAAGGGAUAUGAUGCUGGUCUGAUCCAGAAGUGAGGAAAUCAAAGGAUGUGCUUGGAUAAUAAAGGCAGAAAUGGCUGGUUCUGCUCAGCUUUGGUCACAGCACUUUAUGAGUGACAAAAGAGAACAACAGGAUGGUAUGCUAAAUACAGCUGGUUGUCCCCAGCACCCACAACCCCUUUUUCUAAAGCAGGAGUUUAGCAAGGCAUAUGGCUCUCUAGAGAACAUUGCAUUUCCCGGUCUUUCUUCCUUAGAUGUGCAGGCAGGCAACUAAGUUUGGAUCCACGAGAUAUAAGCAGGAUUGGCAAUUUCUAUACAUCUUUCCUAAGGAAUGGCACACAGACACACUUGAGUCUUUCUGUCCCCUCCUCUAUCCCUCUGCUUAGGACUUGAGUGCUAACACUCAGACCUCAAGAUAGAAGCCGAGAGCAGAAGAACAAGCUGGAUGGAGCCUGGGUCCGUGGUGCUGUGGGGAGCCAUACUACUCAUGGAUCGCAUCCCUGAAAUUUUAGACAGAAAAACAUACAUCUUGUCUAAAAAAUUUUUGGUUAGGUUGUCUGUCACUCGUAGUCAAACCUAACUAGUACAGAGGCCUGAGGAAUUCAUAAUCAUGUCAGGAAAUUGAAGGAGCUGGGUCUACUAAGCCUGAUGAAAGAUCAUGCAGAGGGAGUAGGUGGUUGUUUUUUAAAAACUGCAACUUCUUGGAGAAGGAAGAUAAGCCUUCUUCUGUGUGGCUCCAAGGGAGAAAACUCUUAGGAAGACAGAUAUGGAUAAAAUACAGGAUAAAUUAUAAUGCUGUGGCUCUAGUUCCAUCCUUGGUCCUGGGAAAUUUCAAGUGCCACAGCCAUGGCCAGAAAAAAAAAGCGUAUAUAUAUACGUGUAUACACACACACACACACACACGCGCGCGCGCGCACACACACACAUAUGACAGAUUAUCAGUAUCACUUUUAACUGAGGUGUGUGUUUGACCUGGACACUGAUAUGACUGAUAAAUUUAAUCAAAACGUUCCUUGAGCUAUAAGCUCAUUGAGAGCAGGGCCAGCAUCCCCACCCCACCCCCACUCAGACUGACCACAGUGCCCCCAGCCCCUAGCAGGUGCUGGAUAAAGGUUUGCCAUGUGGGGAAAGGACAAAGCAAAACUGAAUGGUGAAGGGAGAGGCCUUUGCAGAGCCAGAGGACUGAGCUUUGAGGACAGUCCCUCCCCCAGUAGCAAGUAGAAUUUCAUUGCUUUUUAAAUUCAGUCCCUUUUCUUGUUUGGUAAAGUCAAAGCAAAAUCUGCUUUAAAAAGGGAAUGCUGGCAAGAAUGGCCAUUAUCCCAUAACAGAAGAAUCCUGGGAACCUCCAUAUGCCCCAAGUGCAGCCCUAAAAAGACAAAAAAAAAAAAAAAAAAAAAAGCUUACUUCAGUUCUCCUUGGCCAGCUCUUUUCAAAUGGUGUCCUAAAUGUGAGGAAGUUCAAGAAAGUGAGUAUUUUGGGCUAGGCCUAAGGUGCCCAAAUGAAAUCAGGAAUUUGUUGGUAAGGAAGAGGAAGAAAUAGCUACUGGUUAGGAAAGUUAGUGCUUCUUCCAGUUCUGGCUCACCCCAUACUCUGCUUCCUUUGCCUUUUCUGCGUCACCCAGUCUCUUGGUAACUUCUGUGCUGUUCUGUCACCCACCUUGUAGCACCAAACCUUCCUCCAGUUUUACCUCUGGCUGGCAAAAGGAGAAUCUUCAUCUCUUCUAGUUAUGCAUCCAGUUCAGACUGUUACCCUUUUCCAAAGCAUAUGAAUAAACUCUCCAUCCCAUUUCAUAACCUGUUCUUUUCUCUUAAUGAUAUAUUUAUCGUCAGUUGUUUGGCAGAUGGAAUUAAUUGCAUCUCAGCAGCACAGCAUGCUUCCUUGAGUCUAUAAAUAUAUGACAAGCAAUACUGAGGAUGCUGGGGAUAGGCAUUGAACAAAACACACAGAGUCUAAGCCCUCAUGGAGCUGAAAUUCUAGUGGGAGAAGACAGUGAACAAAUAAAUAAGAACACAAUAGAUCAGAUCAUGAUAAGCACUGAGGAGAAAAAUAAAGCCAGGGGAGGGAGGUGGGGAGUGUUAGGAUGAAGAAGAUCCUAUUUAACAUAUAUAAUAGUCAGGUAAGCUUACACUGAUAAGCAGAGGCCUGAAAUAAGAGAGAGAGUAAGUUGUGGGCACUUGUGAAAUGUCCCAGGCAGAGGGAACAGCGCAUGCAAAGGCCCUGACAUGGGAGCAUGUGUGGUAAGUUUGAAAAAUAGUACCAGGGCCUUUGUAACUGAAUCAGGGUUGGCAAGGGGAGAGUAUUCAGAGAGGAGGCAGAGACACUCCUAGAAGUUUCAAUACAGUCAGAAGAACAUGUUUUUAUUAGUUGCAUGGUAUUUCUUUUGUUAGAUAUUCAAGUUCUUUCCAAUUUUUCAUAUUUAGAAUUAUGAAAUUAACUUUAAAAAAAUCUUUUUUUGGUUUUUUAGGGUCAUACCUGCGGCAUAUGGAGGCUCCCAGGCUAGGGGCUGGAUGAGAGCUGUAGCUGCCAGCCUACACCACAGCUCACAGCAAUGCCGGAUCCUUAACCCAUUGAGUGAGUCUGGGGAUCUAACCUGGCUCCUAAUGGAUACUAAUUGGGUUCCUUAACCACAGAGCCUCGACGGGAAUGCCUAAAACUUUUUUUAAAAGUUCUGGACCAUUGGAAAAAAUUCAUUGAUGCCACCAUUGAAAACAAUAGUGUCUAUUUUUGUUUUUUGAGAAAAGGUUUUAGGCACAGCCCAUCUGCUUCUAAAAUAAUAAACGAGGAGGAAAAACAGUACCAAAAUCCAACUUCAUUUACAAACAAACAAACAUAAAAAUGUGCUUAACUGGAAUUCCCAUUGCGGCACAGCAGAAAUGAAUCCGACUAGUAUCCAUGAGGAUGUGGGUUCGAUACCUGGCCUUGCUCAGUGGGUCGGGGAUCUGGCGUUGCCAUGAGCUGUGGUGUAGGUCACAGAUGCAGCCCAGAUCCCACGUUGCUGUGGUUCUGGUAUAGGCUGGCAGCUGUAGCUCCGAUUUGUACCCCAACCUGGGACCCUCCAUAUGCUAUGGGUGCAGCCCUAAAAAAAAAAAAAAAGUGCUGAAUUAACUUAGUGUGUUGGAUAUGGGAAAAUAACAAGGAAUAGAGGGAGGAAAAGGAAGUGAAAAACACAGAAAGGAAAAGGAGUAAAGUUUUUUGAAGUAGAACCGGGGGCUGCUAGUUCUCUCUCUCACCAUGUUAACAAACCUCCCUAAGUUGGGCGUGUGAAAUGACAAUGCUUUUAGUAAACUCAUGGUUCUGUGGGGUCAGGAGCUUGGGUUUCCACUCAACAUGGCAGCCUCAGAGCAAUUCAACUUGUUACAUGGCGGCUGGCUUUCAAGAGGUCGGGAAAGAAACCUUUUUAAUGGCUAGGCCUGAAAGUGGUACAUAUAGCGUUACUUCUAUUAUAUUCUGUUGGUCAGGGCACUUAUAGGCCAAGCCCAGAUCCAAGGGGAAGGGAAGUAGACCCCAACUUUCAAUGAGAAGGUUGUCAAGGAAUUCGAAGCCACUUUUAAUUUGCUACAAUACUCAAAGAAGAGAUAGCCGAAUUUCUACCUUUUGCACAUGUGAGGUCCGUGGCUGUGCUUACACAGCCAGGUGACAAAUAGGGUCAGAUCAAGGUCAUUCUGGCUUCCAGUCCUACAAGGACCCCUGAGUGACAACUCAUAUAUGGUUUAUCCUUUUCUAGAUCUUGAAAAGCCACCCUUAGUAGAUAAUAAAUUUCACAUUUUCUCUAUAAUCUUUAGAAAAAUACCAUGCUGAAAGUCUUUUUUUUGUUUGUUUUUUGCUCUUUCAUGGUGCUAUGCUACCUUUUUCCCCCUCCUUUUUAGUGACCGAAUAAGCUCAUUGUGUGGCCUUGUAAAUGGUAACUUGUCCAAGGUAACAAAUUGUGCCAGGAGAAUCUAAGAGAAUGUUGAUUAUAUUUAUUUUACUACCUAUGUACUUCCUCAAAGGAGAGCGGUUUGAUAAAAUAUUACUGUGAAGCUGCUCUGUUUUGGGUACUUAUUUGCAAGGCUGCAUUAACUAAUUCCCUCCAGACUUCAGGAUUCAUGUCAUCUGGACUCACUGAUUUGUGUGUGUUCAGAUUUUUCAAGUAUUCCUUUACCUGCGUUGACAGAGCAUAUAUUUGACAGAAUAAUAUUAAAAAAUAUAAGAUGGCAAGCAGAUGGUUAGACUCUUGAUGGAAAGAGAUCUUAUUGAAAAUGGUUUGUGAAUGCAGACCAUGCUUUCGUUUACGUAAAUGUCCUUUUAAAUAUUUGGUUUGAUCACCAUAGAGGUCUUGAAAGAGCCCAAUGCCUGCAAAGGUAUGUUAGCUGAUAUCCUCUACCUGAAGUCAUGGCUCCCUUUAAAAAAAAGAGAGAGAAAGGAUAGAGAAGUUUUCUAUAACUCCUUGCUGCCAGAUGUCUGUAUUACUACCUAAAAGGUGAAAAAACCUUUUCCUGAGCCCCACAGCCUGAUGCAACUCCUUUUUUAGCAAAGAAAGGCAUGAAUUCCAUCCAGUGAAAACAAAAGGAGGCAAAAAAAAAAAAAAAAAAAAAAAAA